UCGUAAAACCGGUUCACUGAACCUGUCAAACAGGGGCAUUAGUGUUAUUCCUCCUAAACUGUGGAGACUCAAUAUUGAUCCUCCUGAUGGUAAUACUGCUUCAUUUUAUGUUGAUGAGAGAUGGUGGGACCAGGUGGAACUGACUAGACUGGAUCUAUCAUCUAACGAAAUCAAAGAAAUAUCUGAAGAUAUUGAAAACUUUAAUUGAUUGUCAGCGCUUGAGGUCCAGUACAAUGAGUUAACAUGUCUACCUAAUAAUGUGAUUGAACUGGAUAAACUAUCUAAAAUAUUUGCAAGCUGCUUCAUUGUAGUUAACUUAUUAAUUUGCUAACUUGAUUCGUACACUUUACUAAUCCAUGAAAACUGUACCUAAGCAGUGGCACACACAAUUAUAAGGAAAAGUGAUAGAAAAACAGGAAACAUUUCCUAUCACCAUGAAGGUUUGAGUCUCUUCAUUAUCUUCUCUUUGAUGUCCUCCUCUUAAUUAAAUGAAUGAGACCUGACAUCCUCCGGAAAGGAACAGUAUUGGUCCUCUAGUAUCUCUUGUAUUGAAGAACCAGGAGACCACAUGUGACGGCCAACCUCUCCCUCGUCCCUCAAGAUCCCCUCGUGACCAUACAAGUUAUGGUAUACUGUUACUGUUCUUAUGGGGUACCCAAUGUAUGCUCCUUUUCAUCAAAGAGGAAGAAUUACUCUAACAACUAGAUCAGUAGCGUUGCUGAGGAAAACGACUGUUGCUAUGACAACUGUACAUAUACAUGUACUGUACAUCAAUAAAGAGAUA